rnacentral:rRNA from 1 species
GGAGUAUGGACCGUGUCUCAGUUCCAUUGUGGCCGUUCAUCCUCUCAGACCGGCUACCGAUCGUCGGCUUGGUAGGCUCUUACCCUACCAACUACCUAAUCGGACGCAGGCUCCUCGCAAAGCGAUAAAAUCUUUAAUAAGAACUCCAUGCGAAAUUCUUACAGCAUCCGGUAUUAGCGCCCCUUUCGGAACGUUGUCCCCGUCUUUGCGGCAGAUUACCUGCGCUUUACUCACCCGUUCGCCACUAAACCCGAAGGUUCCGUUCGACUUGCAUGUGUUAAGCACGCCGCCAGCGUUCAUC